AAGUCAGGCAACGAGCGAGACCCACGCCAACAGUUGCCAGCUCGUCCUCCGGGGAUGGUGGGGACGACUGUUGGGACCGCCUCUGCUAAAGAGGAGGAAGGAAUGGGCAACGGUAGGUCAGCAUGCCCCGAAUUAUCUGGGCUACACGCGGGCUACAAUGGGUGGGACAAUGGGUAUCGACACCGAAAGGUGAAGGCAAUCUCCUAAACCCAUCCGUAGUUCGGAUUGUGGGCUGCAACUCGCCCACAUGAAGCUGGAAUCUGUAGUAAUCGUGUCUCAAAAUGGCACGGUGAAUAUGUCCCUGCUCCUU
rnacentral:rRNA from 1 species